CCGCCCUACGUACGAUACGGAAAAAAUUCGAAAGUAAAAGUAGAAAUCGUGUACAAGUUAACAAUAACCAUCUCGAAGUUGAAGUUAAACACGCAAUCUGGAACUCGGUAUCACAUCUGACUCGCACUUCUGAAAUGGAUCAAAUCGGACUUUGUCGUCGAGACUCGGAAGAACCCAGCUGCCUAAAUUAUUAUGCCAGUGAAACACAAAACAGAAAAGAUACUUGUAUGUAAGACAUGGAGAAAAGAGCAGACUACAGCCUCAAUAUACCAUUCCUUGGUGCCUCCUUGAAUUGAUGUUUUUCAGAUCAUAACCAUGCAGGAAUAAAGGUUAACUCAGUAUAAAGUCUUGCUGACAUGAACAUGAUAAUCACAAGAAAGUGGAUAUAUUUCAUCACCUUAAGCAAUCUUCAAAAUACCAUAAAAUUGGAAAUCGGAGGCAAUGCUCAGAAUUUUAGAGAUUUUGUUGAAAAAGCUGAUGGGUCCCUUCAUCCUUUUGGAUAUAUUCAAAUUGAAAAGAAAGUGACACCAGGGAUGAAGUCAACAUGCAAGCCUAGCUUUCUGCAGUGCUACAAGGAAAAGUGCAAAAUUGAUGAGCUUCUGGUGUACCUUUAGAGAAAUAAUUAUGAUUACAUGUAGUAUCAGUUAAGCUUCUGCUAUGAAGCAAUAACAUGUAUUUUUUUAGGAAGGAAAAUUCCAAAAAUAUGCACACAAUUUUUCUGCAUUUUAACAUUAA